UAAGUCCCAGACAAUUUUCCCACUUGUCCCUAGUAUAUCUGGGCAACCUGGGGAAUCAAGGUGGCUAUCCCUUCCUUUAUAUACACAGAAGGUUUACACAUAGCCGCUUCCACUUUCACACAAUUUAUCAAAUUUCAUCCAAUAUCGGGAUGUUUUGGAUGGGAUGUAUUUCCCUUAAACUUCAUGAGGGAUUCAUCAAUAGAAAUGUUUUUUUGGGGUAUAAAUUGUGGCAAAAUUUUCAUUAACCGCUUAAGGACACAACGUCUGAAAUAAAAGGGAAUCAUGAUGGAAUAUAUCCAUCAUGUGUAUUUAAGGGAUUAAAGUGGGCACUUAGAGGGUGUAUUUUAUAUAGAAGAUCACACUGCGGAUGACAUUUUGGGGAGCACUUCAUAUUGUCACUACAGUGCUUAAAUCGCAGUAGGUCUUCAUAUCUGUCCCUACUCAUUGUCUGGAAAAAAUUGGAUUUUUAGACCAAUACAUCCUAAUUGUGGGC